ensembl:Y_RNA Y_RNA Y RNA
GUUUGGUCCAAGUGCCGAGGUGUUUACAACUAAUUGAUCAUAACCAGUUACGGAUUUCUUUGUUCUACCACUGCUUCACUUGACUAGCCUUGA